rnacentral:lncRNA from 1 species
CAAACCUCUGGGUUUCUUGUCCUCUCCACACCUACGGUCUGCGUAUCACCCCCUCUCCCAUUAUCCGGUACCUCGACAUCUACAUCUAUGAGACCCUGUGCCGGUGACGAAGCUAUGAGUAAGGCUGAAGUUGAGGACUCACUAUCACACCUCCUUUUUCCCAUAGGGAAUAGGGAGUUUUUCCAAUUAAACGGGAUUAUUUAUAUUCAAUUUAGAGUCGUCACUUGGGAUAAUUUAUGGUGUCCCAAGUCACCAGUUUAAAAUUCCUAAUCGAGGAAGUUUGACUAUGUUUUACAAUCCGCGAAACACAGAAAUCCGGGUAAGGAAUUCUGUUAACCCAGGAGAAGGUGUUAGGCAUUCCCGGGUUCUAUGGUUUUUGCACAGUCGCUCAACUGUUAAUAUUGGCCUAAUUAUCUGAUUUGUUACACAUUUUAAACCUACGUGCAUUUGUAACUUUCUAACCGCUUUUAAUGUUUAUAGAAUUAUUUUCUGGAACAAGUCACAAUUGUCGUACAUUUGUCAUUUUGGUACACAUUGCAAACCGCGUCACAUGAAAUGCACCCGUGAUUGACAACAUGUUUAUUUUAUUAUUGUUCGAAGUUAUGGUCGGGUUACAUAAAAUGCACACCCAAAUUGUGAUUUAUGUAUCGCGGCCAUGCCACGGGAAUCGUACUCAUGGCCACGAUGAUUUAUUAAUCGCGCAUGAAGCAAACUACGCCGUUCAUAGUUAUCAUCCUAAACCAAUUUGGGAUUGUUGUAAGCCCGGGAUUUAUGGAAUUAUGGAGUUUAAACUUGGACGAAAUUUGAUGUAUUAAGACUAAUUUAAUAGAUUCCAACGUACUGCGGUAUUUAUGAAGGAAAGGUCUCCGAAAGAGUCCAAGUCAAUUACUUCAUAAAGCUCUUUAUUUACUAAAACUUAACUCCAAUCACUAAAAUUAAUAUAACCCAUAAGUUAAAAGAAGUCCAUCAACAUAAAUAUGUAAUUCACAGCCUCAAACAUUAGUUAAAGUAUUUUUGGGAUAAAUUAAAAUACUAAAAAGAAUAAUGAAACAGAAAGGAAAAUUAUUACAAAAUCAAGACAACGGACCAACCAAAAAACGAGCAUUUCACUAAAAUAACAAUACAACCCAACGUAGUAUGAAACAUAUUCAACGUAGUAUGGAACAAAACCUGGGAUCACUCAGAAACCCACACUUAUUUGUAUUAGGCAAGUUAAAUCAACAGUUUAUUUCAAUUAAUUUUAUGUAGAAUAUGAAGGCGUGAAACAUCAUCUCAGAAUGACCAUAAUUCCAAGCGUGAAAGAAAAGGGAAGAAAGAGAUGAACCUGAAAUUACAGCUUUUACUUUCGGCUUUGAAUAUACAAUAAGAAAUACAGUGCCAAAAUUCGUGCGUCCAGUAGAAAACAAACAAAACAGCGAUAAAAAUGGAUUUGGAACCACAAUCAAGAACCUCACGAGCAGUCGACGUACCUCAACCAAAAAUCUUCUCUUGAUUUUGGUUGUUCCCCUUUUUCCUCUUUUCUGUUUUGAUUUCAAUUUCCUCCCCCUCUGUCUCUCUGUUACUGUUACUCUCUAUUCUUCUUUUGUUUUCUUUUUAAUUGUCAUGUCUUUUGGUCUUUGUUUUGUGCAGGUUAUGGUUGUCUAGGUUUGUCAUUCUCUCUAUGCAAAGAGAUGAGUGGUCCGAUUUUUAUAUGGGGUAGAGGGUUCUGCCGUUCUGCUCUUUUUUC